rnacentral:misc_RNA from 1 species
UUUGGUUGAUAUUUUUUUUAAACUGAAUCCUGCUUACCCAUACACACUGGUCCCACUCACUGGUCACUUUAUACUUGGAACACGCACACACAGAAACUCAGUUUGUCCAAGUUGGUCUGAUCCAUGACCUGUAAUUCCUAAUCUCUCGUCUCAAAUAUCUGCUGCCAUUCCACUAGUUGCAAACUUCAAGCCUGCAUCUCGCCACGCCACCUCCACUUCUGGAUGGCGCUCUUGUAGAUCUGCUGCACUGCUCCUCCAUUGAGCUUUCUCUCAUUGCUCUGUCUCUCCGUCACAAUCAGUAGCCUUUCGACCUUAGUGACUGUGUAUUG